GAUGAAGAACGCAGCGAAAUGCGAUAAGUAAUGUGAAUUGCAGAAUCCAGUGAAUCAUCGAAUCUUUGAACGCACAUUGCGCCCGCCAGCAUUCUGGCGGGCAUGCCUGUUCGAGCGUCAUUUCAACCCUCGACCUCCCUUUGGGGAAGUCGGCGUUGGGGACCGGCAGCACACCGCCGGCCCUGAAAUGGAGUGGCGGCCCGUCCGCGGCGACCUCUGCGUAGUAAUCCAACUCGAACCGGAACCCCGACGCGGCCACGCCGUAAAACACCCAACUUCUGAACGUUGACCUCGAAUCAGGUAGGACUACCCGCUGAACUUAAGCAUAUCAAUAAGCGGAGGA
rnacentral:misc_RNA from 1 species